UGUGCCACACUUCUAGGCAAAGUCUUUGAUCAUGGCGAUUGUUUGUGGUACACGGAAACUCUAAAGUAAUAUAUUACCACAAACAAUCGCUAUGGUCAAAGACUUUGCCUAGAAGCGUGGCACAUAAAUAUG
rnacentral:miRNA from 1 species